AUGCUUGAUCUCAAUGAGUUGCCUCCUGAUCUCAAUGAGCUUCCUCAUGAUAUGGAUGAGCAGCAACCCAGCAUACCACAAGGAAAUUGGACAGAAAAUGGGCGCUCUAUUUACUACACGCAGACAAGUCGUGGGCCUAACCCUAUGGGCCAUGACAAUGUGGUAGGGCAGUCAUCAACCCGUGGUGUCCUUGUAGUGGUGUCUUUGCAGUUAGAGAGCCGUACUCUUAAUGACACGGGCACCGCAGCAAAUGUUCCUGGUCCAACUAGGACUGAGCUCGGAGCUGGUGCUAUUGAUGGUGUUGUGCAAGGAGAAGAAGGAGAAGCUGGAGCUGGUGCUGUUCUCAGCCAAUGGAACCCUAUGUCGGCAUGA
rnacentral:rRNA from 1 species